GUACUGCUGAAAAGUGCAAUACUAGGACGAAACGGUCGUCCAAUAC
rnacentral:hammerhead_ribozyme from 1 species